CAGAGUAAAGGGAGCCGGUAUCAGGCUCAAUAUGCCCACGACACCUAGCUCCGCCACGCCCCCAAGGGUACUCAGCAGUGAUCAACAUUGUAAACUAGCGCAAGCUAAAUUCAGUUAUUAGCCAAAAAAACCGGUCAAUCUCGUGCCAGCCACCGCGGUUAUACGGGCAGGUUUAAAUUAAUAACAUCGGCACAAAGCGUGGUUAAAUAAUUAUUUUACUAAAGCAAAAAUUAAGCCUGGCUGUGAUAUGCUUUCGCUUUUAAGAACCCCAAUUACGAAAGUAGCUUUAAUUAUAAUUGAACCCACGACCGCUAGGGCACAAACUGGGAUUAGAUACCCCACUAUGCCUAGCCUUAAACUUUGAAAUUUUCGCCUGGGGACUACGAGCGUCAGCUUAAAACCCAAAAGACUUGGCGGUGCCCUAUACCACCUAGAGGAGCCUGUUCUAUAAUCGAUAAUCCCCGAUUUACCUCACCAUCUCUUGCCAACACCGUCUGUAUACCUCCGUCGCCAACUGACCCCUUGAGGGUAAUAGUCGGUUAAAUGGCCUACCCCCAGUAAGUCAGGUCAAGGUGCAGCGAAUGAGGUGGAAAGCAAUGGGCUACAUUUUCUAUUUUUAGAUUACACGAAAGAUCACUAUGAAAUCUGAUCGGAAGGCGGAUUUAGCAGUAAAAAGAGACUAGAGAGCUCUUUUUAAGCUGGCUCUAGGGCGCGCACACACCGCCCGUC
rnacentral:rRNA from 1 species